UGUAUGUAGACUGCGAUAGAAUUUGUUAUGUAAUGGAGUGACUGGAAUUCUAGAAAGAUCCAAGUACCCAUGGAAAUACUUCAGUCGCUGUACAUAUGUACGUAUGUAUACCUAUAUACCCAUAUACGUAUGUAUAGACAUGUUAUUUAAGCGAAAACAGUAUAUAAUCACAAUUUCUUGUCCAACGUACAAUUGUCUGCUCAAUAAUAAGACAGCCGAUUUUGUGUCUUUUGAAGAGGUGGCUCUUCUUCAAGUGUACAAACCUAAUAGAAUAACAAGUUUUUGAACCUGAUAAACAUUUCUUAUUACCUACAUCCAGAAUUUAGUAGAAAUAAGGACUAAUUUUACACUGAAAAUCCCUAUAAAAUCAACCUCAGGGCAUUCAGGGCAGAAUGAAAAUGGAAAUUAUUGGCACAUUUCCUAUCCGAACAAAGAUUAUUUUUAUCAUAUUCUUCGAUUUGUUUAAUGAGAUUCACUGUCGCUUUCCUGAUUGGAAUAAUGAAAAAGGCCAGCUACUGAAAUAUUUCGACGAAGAUGGGCGAAUAAAAAUCCCUGGUCCAUGCACAAAUUCCGCUCCCAUCCGGGCUGGAGAUUGGUCAAUUUUGGCGACAAAUUUGGCUACUAUAUUAGCAAAUUUUACACCCAAGAAUAAAUUGGACAUUAUAAUACUGAAUUGUGAAGCCCGCAGCUGCGUCUGCCAUGUAUAGUGUCCUUUCGAACAAAUUCAUACCCGCACAUGAAAAAUCAGCCAUCCUUUUGAGUAAAAGAGGUAUUACAACAACCUUGAAAACAGAAGUGGGGACACUUAGUGGGGAAGGAGCAAAAUUAGUGGUUGAUAAUUCAGUCAGCGUGGUCGGUUUCAUGUCAACUUUAUGGGAAAGUUCUGGCUUUCGGGUUCCACUACUUAUAUCAUUAAAUCAUCAGUAGCGGAUUCCCCAUAACUGGAAUUAUUGUAAUGAUAGAAAUUGAAAACCCAGUCAAAAAUUUGGGCGAGAUUUUAGGUGUCCUUGGCCAACGGGAAUUUGAAGUGGAACAAUUUGCAAGAGCUAGGAGCGAACUUGGGAGUGAACUUGUUCUGAUUAAAGGGAUUUUGCCCGAUGAAGAUGUAAAUAACGAUAAUUUAUCAGCGCUGAGCAGGAACAUUAGUGGUGUGGUCAUACCUACACCUAAUUGGGUAAAAAUAUUAUUUUUGAAUUAAUUCUCAUUGAGCAAUUCAAUUAACUUAGAAUACUUGUCUAGAUUUAAGCCAAAUUAAUUUGCUCAGAUAUUACUUUAUUAUUAGUAUGCAUAUGUAAAAUCAUAGCAUGUGUAUGUAUAUGAAAAGACGCUGUAAGUAAGAAGUAUGCAAAACAGUUGUGUACAUACAUUGAAAGUAAGUAUUCGCCCUAACGCACCAUGCCAAAUCAGGAAUGGGUAUAAAAUAAGCAUCUAAAUUUCCAACUAACUUGUUUCAAUUGAUUUUGUUGUCUGUAUUUGUAACUCCAUAUAGCGAAAUAAAUAAUAGAAUCGUGGGACUAACCCAUAAUCCAAAAAA